GCUGGGCAUGGUGGCACAUGCCUGUAAUCCCAGAGGCUCCGGAGGCUGAGCCAGGAGGAUCGUGAGUUCAAAACCAGCCUCGGCAAAAGCGAGGCACUAAAUAACUCAGUGAGACCCUGUCUCUA
rnacentral:sRNA from 1 species